CUUAGAGUUUGAUCCUGGCUCAGGAUGAACGCUGGCGGCGCACUUAAGACAUGCAAGUCGAACGGACUUAACCGAAAUAUUUAUAUUUCGGAGCGGUUAGUGGCGGACUGGUGAGUAACGCGUAAGCAAUCUGCCUAUUAGAGGGGAAUAACAGUGAGAAAUCACUGCUAAUACCGCAUAUGCCAUGAACAUCGCAUGAUGAAAAUGGGAAAGGAGUAAUCCGCUAAUAGAUGAGCUUGCGUCUGAUUAACUAGUUGGUGUGGUAAUGGCAUACCAAGGUAACGAUCAGUAGCCGGACUGAGAGGUUGAACGGCCACAUUGGGACUGAGAUACGGCCCAGACCCCUACGGGAGGCAGCAGUCGGGAAUAUUGCGCAAUGGAGGAAACUCUGACGCAGUGACGCCGCGUAUAGGAUGAAGGUUUUCGGAUUGUAAACUAUUGUCAUUAGGGAAGAUAAAAGACAGUACCUAAGGAGGAAGCUCCGGCUAACUACGUGCCAGCAGCCGCGGUAAUACGUAGGGAGCAAGCGUUAUCCGGAUUUAUUGGGUGUAAAGGGUGCGUAGACGGGAAAUUAAGUUAGUUGUGAAAGCCCUCGGCUUAACUGAGGAAUUGCAACUAAAACUGGUUUUCUUGAGUGCAGGAGAGGUAAGUGGAAUUCCUAGUGUAGCGGUGAAAUGCGUAGAUAUUAGGAGGAACACCAGUGGCGAAGGCGACUUACUGGACUGUAACUGACGUUGAGGCACGAAAGUGUGGGGAGCAAACAGGAUUAGAUACCCUGGUAGUCCACACCGUAAACGAUGGAUACUAGGUGUAGGAUGUGUUAAACAUUCUGUGCCGUCGCAAACGCAGUAAGUAUCCCACCUGGGGAGUACGGCCGCAAGGUUGAAACUCAAAGGAAUUGACGGAAGGGC
rnacentral:rRNA from 1 species